rfam:Brachypodium distachyon strain Bd21 chromosome 4, whole genome shotgun sequence.
UAUGUACUUUCUCCGUCCAACAAAAGAUGUUUCAACUUUGACUAAAUUUGAAUGCAUCUAUACACUAAGUCAUGUCUAGAUACUUUCAAAUUUUGACAAAUUUGAGACAUCUUUUGUUGGACGGAGGGAGUACGAG